UUCCGGUUGAUCCUGCCGGAGGGAACCCCUAUCGGGUUCAGACUAAGCCAUGCGAGUCGGCUGGGGGCACUUGCCCCUGGCGGCGCACGGCUCAGUAAUACGCGGUCAACCUACCCUGGGGACCGGGAUAACCUCGGGAAACUGAGGCUAAUCCCGGAUGGGUGUAGGGUGCUGAAAUGCCCCUACGCCGAAAGUAGGCGGGAAAUGGACCGCUGAGGCCCCAGGAUGGGACCGCGGCCUAUCAGGUAGUAGGUGGGGUAACGGCCCACCUAGCCUACGACGGGUACGGGCCCUGAGAGGGGGAGCCCGGAGAUGGGCACUGAGACAAGGGUCUAGGCCCUAAGGGGCGCAGCAGGCGCGAAGAUUCCGCAAUGCCCGAAAGGGCGACGGAGUGAACCCGAGUGCCACCCGCUGAGGGUGGCUGUUCCCCUGUGUAAAAAGCAGGGGGUAGGAAGGGGAGGGCAAGGCUGGUGGCAGCCGCCGCGGUAAAACCAGCUCCCCGAGGGGUUCCCACGCAUACUGGGCCUAAAGCGUCCGUAGCCGGCCCUGUAAGUCCGCAGUUAAAUCCGCCUGUAGACAGGCGGGCUGCUGCGGAUACUGCAGGGCUAGGGAGCGGGAGGAGCCGGGGGUAUUCCCGGGGGAGCGGUAAAAUGCGUAGAUCCCGGGAGGACCACCAGUGGCGAAGGCGCCCGGCUUGAACGCGUCCGACGGUGAGGGACGAAAGCUGGGGGAAGCAAACCGGAUUA
rnacentral:rRNA from 1 species